GCCUUUGUGGUGUAACAGUUAGCACACUCGACGCAUAUUCGAGAGGUCUAGGUUCGAGUCCCAGCAAGGACA
rnacentral:tRNA from 1 species